CCUACGGGAGGCUGCAGUGAGGAAUAUUGGUCAAUGUCCGGAAGGCUGAACCAGCCAUGCCGCGUGCGGGUUGAAGGUCUUCGGAUCGUAAACCUCUGUCAGCAGGGAAGAACGUUCACUGUGCUAAUCAGCCGUGAAUUGACGGUACCUGACUAAGAAGCCCCGGCUAACUACGUGCCAGCAGCCGCGGUAAUACGUAGGGGGCGAGCGUUAUCCUGAUUUACUGGGUGUAAAGGGAGCGUAGACGGUUCUGCAAGUCUGAAGUGAAAGCCCGUGGCUUAACCGCGGAACGGCUUUGGAAACUGUGGAACUGGAGUGCUGUAGAGGCAAGCGGAAUUCCUAGUGUAGCGGUGAAAUGCGUAGAUAUUAGGAGGAACACCAAUGGCGAAGGCGGCUUGCUGGACAGUAACUGACGUUGAGGCUCGAAAGCGUGGGGAGCAAACAGGAUUAGAUACCCGGGUAGUC
rnacentral:rRNA from 1 species